rnacentral:rRNA from 1 species
UACGUAGGGGGCAAGCGUUGUCCGGAAUCAUUGGGCGUAAAGCGCGUGUAGGCGGCUCGGUAAGUCCGCUCUGAAAGUCCGGGGCUCAACCCCGGGAGGCGGGUGGAUACUGUCGAGCUCGAGUCCGGAAGAGGCGAGUGGAAUUCCUGGUGUAGCGGUGAAAUGCGCAGAUAUCAGGAGGAACACCAAUUGCGAAGGCAGCUCGCUGGGACGUUACUGACGCUGAGACGCGAAAGCGUGGGGAGCAAACAGG